UACGUAGGGUGCAAGCGUUGUCCGGAAUUAUUGGGCGUAAAGAGCUCGUAGGCGGUUUGUCGCGUCUGCUGUGAAAACUCGGGGCUUAACCCCGGGCCUGCAGUGGGUACGGGCAGACUAGAGUGCGGUAGGGGAGAAUGGAAUUCCCGGUGUAGCGGUGAAAUGCGCAGAUAUCGGGAAGAACACCCGUGGCGAAGGCGGUUCUCUGGGACGGUACUGACGCUGAGACGCGAAAGCGUGGGGAGCGAACAGG
rnacentral:rRNA from 1 species